CCAAUAGCGUAUAUUAAAGUUGCUGCAGUUAAAAAGCUCGUAGUUGAAUUUCGGGAUCAAUAUGUCGGUCGUGCCUCGGUACGUACUGGCAUCGUUGGUUUCUCCCUUCUGACGAACCAUGAUGUCAUUUAUUUGGUGUCGUGGGGAAUCAGGACUGUUACUUUGAAAAAAUUAGAGUGUUUAAAGCAGGCUCACGCUUGAAUACAUUAGCAUGGAAUAAUGAAAUAGGACGUUUGAUUCUAUUUUGUUGGUUUCUAGGAUCGACGUAAUGAUUAAUAGGGAUAGUUGGGGGCAUUAGUAUUCAAUUGUCAGAGGUGAAAUUCUUGGAUUUAUUGAAGACUAACUACUGCGAAAGCAUUUGCCAAGGAUGUUUUCAUUAAUCAAGAACGAAAGUUAGGGGAUCGAAGACGAUCAGAUACCGUCGUAGUCUUAACCAUAAACUAUGCCGACUAGGGAUCGGAUGAUGUUAAUUUUUUAAUGACUCAUUCGGCGCCUUACG
rnacentral:rRNA from 1 species